rnacentral:lncRNA from 1 species
CCAGGAGAAGCUGAAGAGGAAGAGAGGCACUGACUGGGGUGAGAACCCCACCCGGUGACCAGGAUGCUCCUGGGGCAGGUUCCUGUCAUCAUGCGAUCCGGAUCCUCCCAGAGUCUUUAUGGAACUCACAUCAUCUGUUUGUCUACAUCCUGUCUUCCCCACCCAACAAAUGGAAUGCAAACCCAUAUGCUCCAGGACUUUAUGCAAAAGUAUUUAAUGAGUGAAGCUGGACAGUCUGCCUCAGGUUCACUGCUUUCGGAUCCACGUGUACAAGCCUGUGUCUGCAUCUGAAUGUGUUUCCCAGCCCACUUGCAAAGCUCCUUGGAUGUCAGAGGUACAUCAUCUCCCAGCAGGACUUGACAGGUCAGACCCUGCCCCACAGUGAGGGGACCUACAACUUUUCCCAGGACGUUCCAGGAUGCUUGAGACCCUCAAAGGUAUAUAAUGGCCUCUGAAUACAGAAAGUAAGUGGAAAGUACUGAUUUAAAAGCAGAGACAACUCCUUUCGCAAAAGAUUUUCCCAGCAAACACCUGUGCUCUGAGGGCUCCCCACAGAGGGUCUGCCUGGUCCAGGAGGGCUCCCGUGUGUCUCCGGAUAAGGGAUGGUCCUCUGGGCACCCUCCAUUCAAGAGCCUCAUCUGCGCCAGCAGGUCAGCAGGGGGUGUGGGGGUGCAGAGGGAGGGGGUCCCCCCAGACCAAAGUAACACCCCCAACUCUGAGGGCUCCUGCCUCACCUGGGCUGUGAGGUACAGACACAGAUUCCUGGGCCCCAGAGCAGUCUGCGACCAGAACCCCAGCCACCCCAGGGCUCCACAUUUUAGGCUGCUGACCCUGAAACCUGUGCACAUGUGAGUCCUUCUCUUCUGGAGAAGAGCACGUGGCUACUGAGACCCAACCCUCCCAUUCCGAAAACAGAGUUCUCCUUGCUCCAUGUGACCCACAGACAGGGAGUGGCUUCCUGUCACAGCUCUGUGCCUAGGACUCUCCUAUGGGUCUGGAGGGCACAGUGAGGGACAGGGGUGUGGGGGAGGGGUCAAGGAAGAUAAAAGAAUACCGCAUUGUGUACGGGCCUGGAACUGGAGGGGGC